AGCAGCCGCGGUAAUUCCAGCUCCAAUAGCGUAUAUUAAAGUUGUUGCAGUUAAAAAGCUCGUAGUUGAAUUUCGGGGUCAGCAGGUUGGUCGUGCCAAUGGUAUGAACUGGCCUUGCUGAUUCCUCCCUCUUGAUGAGCCGCAAUGUCAUUAAUUUGGUGUUGCGGGGAAUCAGGACUGUUACUUUGAAAAAAUUAGAGUGUUUAAAGCAGGCAAGCGCUUGAAUACA
rnacentral:rRNA from 1 species